rnacentral:rRNA from 1 species
AUUGAACGCUGGCGGCAGGCCUAACACAUGCAAGUCGAACGCGUGGCGGGCGGGUGAGUAAUGUCUGGGAAAAUGCCUGAUGGAGGGGGAUAACACCUGGAAACGGUACUUAUAACCCCGUACCCGCAGAUGUGCGCAGAGGGGAUUUGAUCGUGGUUGGGGUAACGGAUCACCAAGGCGACGAUCCCCAGCUGGUCUGAGAGGAUGACCAGCCACACUGGAACUGAGACACGGUCCAGACUCCUACGGGAGGCAGCAGUGGGGAAUAUUGCACAAUGGGCGAAACCCUGAUGCAGCCAUGCCGCGUGUGUGAAGAAGGCCUUCGGGUUGUAAAGUACUUUCAGCGGGGAGGCGUUACCCGCAGAAGAAGCACCGGCUAACUCCGUGCCAGCCGCCGCGGUAAUAC